rnacentral:rRNA from 1 species
GAUGAACGCUGGCGGCGUGCCUAAUACAUGCAAGUCGAGCGAACAGACGAGGAGCUUGCUCCUCUGACGUUAGCGGCGGGCGGGUGAGUCACACGUGGAUAACCUACCUAUAAGACUGGGAUCACUUCGGGAAACCGGAGCUAAUCCCGGAUAAUAUAUUGAACCGCAUGGUUCAAUAGUGAAAGUCGGUUUUGCUGUCACUUAUAGCUGGAUCCGCGCCGCAUUAGCUAGUUGGUAAGGUAACGGCUUAUCAAGGCAACGAUGCGUAGACGAGCUGAGAGGGUGAUCGGCCGCACUGGAACUGAGACACGGUCCAGGCUACUACGGGAGGCAGCAGUAGGGAAUCUUCCGCAAUAGGCGAGAGCCUGGCGGAGCAACGCGGCGUGAGUGAUGAAGGUCUUCGGUUCGUAAAACUCUGUUAUUAGGGAAGAACAAAUGUGGACGUAACUAUGGACGUCUUGACGGUACCGAAUAAGAAAGCCACGGCUAACUACGUG